UACGUAGGUGGCAAGCGUUGUCCGGAUUUACUGGGUGUAAAGGGCGUGUAGCCGGGCUUACAAGUCAGAUGUGAAAUCCGGGGGCUCAACCCCCGAACUGCAUUUGAAACUGUAGGUCUUGAGUAUUGGAGAGGCAGGCGGAAUUCCUAGUGUAGCGGUGAAAUGCGUAGAUAGUAGGAGGAACACCAGUGGCGAAGGCGGCCUGCUGGACGACAACUGACGGUGAGGCGCGAAAGCGUGGGGAGCAAACAGG
rnacentral:rRNA from 1 species